rnacentral:rRNA from 1 species
UACAGGGGGUGCAAACGUUGCUCGGAAUUAUUGGGCGUAAAGCGCGCGUAGGCGGCUACCUAAGUCGGAUGUGAAAGCCCCUGGCUUAACCGGGGAAGUGCACCCGAAACUGGGUAGCUAGAGUGCAAAAGAGGGUCGCGGAAUUCCCAGUGUAGAGGUGAAAUUCGUAGAUAUUGGGAGGAACACCGGUGGCGAAGGCGGCGACCUGGGUCGAGACUGACGCUGAGGCGCGAAAGCGUGGGGAGCAAACAGG